rnacentral:tRNA from 1 species
GGAAGUGUGCCUGAAAGAUAAGGACCUCCUUGAUAG